AUCUGGUUCAGGACGAACGCUGGCGGCGUGCCUAAUACAUGCAAGUCGAACGGUCUUUCUAUGGAAGCUUGCUUCCACUGAGAAGAUAGUGGCGAACGGGUGAGUAACACGUGGGUAACCUGCCCAUAAGAGGGGGAUAACAUCCGGAAACGGGUGCUAAUACCGCAUAGUUUUCUUGAUCGCAUGAUCGGGAAAGGAAAGACGGCCUUUGUGCUGUCGCUUAUGGAUGGACCCGCGGCGUAUUAGUUAGUUGGUGAGGUAACGGCUCACCAAGACGAUGAUACGUAGCCGACCUGAGAGGGUGAUCGGCCACAUUGGGACUGAGACACGGCCCAAACUCCUACGGGAGGCAGCAGUAGGGAAUCUUCCGCAAUGGACGAAAGUCUGACGGAGCAACGCCGCGUGAGUGAAGAAAGGUUUUCGGAUCGUAAAACUCUGUUGUCAGAGAAGAACAAGUUGGAGAGUAACUGCUCCAGCCUUGACGGUAUCUGACCAGAAAGCCACGGCUAACUACGUGCCAGCAGCCGC
rnacentral:rRNA from 1 species